GUGGUUGGUGUACAGGUGGUGCAUGGUUGUCGUCAGCUCGUGUCGUGAGAUGUUGGGUUAAGUCCCGCAACGAGCGCAACCCUUGUCUUAUGUUGCCAGCACGUGAUGGUGGGGACUCAUGAGAGACUGCCGGGGUUAACUCGGAGGAAGGUGGGGAUGACGUCAAAUCAUCAUGCCCCUUAUGUCCAGGGCUUCACACAUGCUACAAUGGUCGGUACAACGCGUUUGCGAGCCUGUGAGGGUGUGCUAAUCGCUGAAAGCCGGCCUUAGUUCGGAUUGGGGUCUGCAACUCGACCCCAUGAAGUCGGAGUCGCUAGUAAUCGCAGAUCAGCAACGCUGCGGUGAAUACGUUCCCGGGCCUUGUACACACCGCCCGUCACGUCAUGAAAGUUGGUAACACCCGAAGCCAGUGGCCUGUCAUGGGAGCUGUCGAAGGUGGGAUCGGCGAUUGGGACGAAGUCGUAACAAGGUAGCCGUACCGGAAGGUGCGGCUGGAUCACCUCCUUUCUAAGGAG
rnacentral:rRNA from 1 species